AGAGAUGAGAAAUAAUGCCACAAACCACUCCCCCAUAGACACAGGAAGAAAAAUCACUCUUCUUCAAAGCCUCCACAGUCACCAUAAAAUCACCCUCCAGUGUAAAUGACCGAAUACCCAGCUGUCCGUGCAAGCUCAACACCUUUUCUUGCUGCCAGUGCUUCAGCUAAGGUUGAAUACGAAAUAUAAGCCACCGUCGAACACAUAACACCACGAACUCCACCCAAAUGAUCACGGGCAACCAACCCAAUUCCAAUAAGCUUCUUCCUUCGAUCCACAGCCGCAUCCCAGUUAAUCUUGAACCCAUUACACGGAGGUGGAGACCAGGUAACGUGAAGCUCUCCAAUUCCCCUUGAAGGGAGGACAUGAGCAACCUAAGAUGCACGGAAAUCCUCCAGACCCUCAUUGGCACUUUUCAACAAACACCUAGGAUGCCAAACUUCUCCCCCAAAUACCACUUGAUUCCUGCGAGCCCAUAAUUUGUGAGACACCACUCCAAACCAUUCAAGCUCCGAUUGAUCCAAGAGACCUGAGAGGUACUCAAAAAUACUAAUAAAAGAGCCAGUCAGACUUGAGCAUUUCUGGAGCCGACGACAACCCUCUGCCCAAACUACUCUAGCCGAAUCACACCACCAAAGUAAGUGUCCUGGGGUCUCGGCUUCUGUCCCACACAUUGGGCAAAAAGGGUCUUGGACAAUCUUCCUCAGUAAUAAUUUAUCUCGUGUUGGCAGCAAGUCUCUACAGGCACGCCAGAGAAAAGAUUGCACAUAUUUGGGAACCUGCAAAGACCAGAUAGCCGACCAAAUGGGAGAAGGAAUACCAGAAACAGAAGUGCUAGGGACUGAGCUAGACCGCCUUCUAACAUCCAAAUGAUAUGCACUCUUAACAGAGAAAUCACCAACCGAUUCUGCAGCAAGUGAGGACAAAUCGCCAUUGAGCAGAUGUUUUCCACAGUUGCUUGUGAAAAAAUCUGCUUGAAGAGGGGGAUAUUCCACCAAUUUUCCUAGUUCUCUAGACUGCCAAAGGCUCCUCCAAGCAAAAGAAGGCCUACUCCCCUCUGUGCCCGAUAGAAGGAAGAACUUGGGCUUGGUUCUAAAAAGGAUAUAUAAUGGAUCAUCAUCGCCAUUGUCAUCAACAUUCAAGCUUUUGCGAGCGUUGAGAACUGAGCAAUUGAGUCUCUCUCAUGUCAUCACCAAAAAUUAUUGAGAACUUGAGAAUUGGGGAUGCUCUGAAUUAACAAGGUACUAAAAGUUCUGUGGUGACUUGUAGACCUUGUGAAGGUGUGGCGCCAAAUCGGCAUCAUGGGGAAAUUUGGGUUUCUUUUUCCUUUGUUGGAAGUGUAGGUUCUUGAAUCACCAUUUUUACUGUACCCGUUCUCCUGAAAGAUGGUACGUGGGGACAAGGUAAUCAGUGUCAGCAAAGUAUUUUCUUGUGGCUGACUUGAUCUAUGGUAACAAAGUGGAAAGCUGCAUAAAAUAUCCAGUCGACACUGAACCAAUUGGAAGCUAGUACUGGUUUUUUAUUGCUCUUUUUGCCGGGGAAGGAUUGAGAAUAGAGAGCAUCUCCUCUUCCAAUGUGGCUUCGGCAAUCGCAUAUGGAAGGAAUUGAUGGCUCUCUGCUUCGUAAGGCAAUCAAGAUACUCUUGGGAGGAUUGAUAUUGAAAAAUGGAGCAUGAAGGAAUUAAGGACAGAUUGCCUAAAAAAUCAGAUUGUGCAUUUGGUUUAAUUUUAUGUUAAACAACUAUUUAUUCCAAAAGAUUAUUUUUAUAAGAAU